UACAGAGACUGCAAGCGUUGUUCGGAUUCAUUGGGCGUAAAGGGUGCGCAGGCGGUGGGCUAAGUCGGAUGUGAAAUCUCACAGCCUAACUGUGAUAGGUCAUUCGAAACUGGCAUGCUAGAGGAUUGGAGAGGAGACUGGAAUAGUUGGUGUAGCAGUGAAAUGCGUAGAGAUCAACUAGAACACCGGUGGCGAAGGCGAGUCUCUGGACAAUUCCUGACGCUCAGGCACGAAAGCCAGGGGAGCAAACGGG
rnacentral:rRNA from 1 species